GACGUAGGGCGCGAGCGUUGUCCGGAUUUAUUGGGCGUAAAGAGCUCGUAGGCGGCUUAUUGCGUCGACUGUGAAAACCUGCGGCUCAACCGUGUGGUCUGCAGUCGAUACGGGCAGGCUGGAGUUCGGUAGGGGAGACUGGAAUUCCUGGUGUAGCGGUGAAAUGCGCAGAUAUCAGGAGGAACACCGGUGGCGAAGGCGGAUCUCUGGGCCAUUACUGACGCUGAGGAGCGAAAGCGUGGGGAGCGAACAGG
rnacentral:rRNA from 1 species